UGAGGAAUAUUGGUCAAUGGGCGAGAGCCUGAACCAGCCAAGUCGCGUGAGGGAAGACGGUCCUAUGGAUUGUAAACCUCUUUUGUCAGGGAGCAAAGGGCGUCACGUGUGACGCAAAGGAGAGUACCUGAAGAAAAAGCAUCGGCUAACUCCGUGCCAGCAGCCGCGGUAAUACGGAGGAUGCGAGCGUUAUCCGGAUUUAUUGGGUUUAAAGGGUGCGUAGGCGGAUAGUUAAGUCAGCGGUAAAAUUGAGAGGCUCAACCUCUUCGAGCCGUUGAAACUGGUUAUCUAGAGUGAGUGAGAAGUACGCGGAAUGCGAGGUGUAGCGGUGAAAUGCAUAGAUAUCACGCAGAACUCCGAUUGCGAAGGCAGCGUACCGGCACUCAACUGACGCUGAAGCACGAAAGCGUGGGUAUCGAACAGGAUUAGAUACCCUGGGUAGU
rnacentral:rRNA from 1 species